AACUUUCAACAACGGAUCUCUUGGUUCUGGCAUCGAUGAAGAACGCAGCGAAAUGCGAUAAGUAAUGUGAAUUGCAGAAUUCAGUGAAUCAUCGAAUCUUUGAACGCACAUUGCGCCCCUUGGUANNCCGGGGGGCAUGCCUGUUCGAGCGUCAUNU
rnacentral:rRNA from 1 species